rnacentral:lncRNA from 1 species
GUCGUCACAACCUCAUCUACGAACGAUGAAACCUCCUCUGCCGGUAAGUCGUCUGUUCCUUCUUCCUUUCUCUCUCUUGGAAGGACAAUAUGGAGAUGAUGAUGCAAUCCAGUCGAUCGAUCUUGCUUCCAAAUGUCUCCAAUACGAAGCAAGAUAUCGAUCCGAUAUAAAAUUCGUUCUUUCAGCAGUGACAUCACUUCAAAAAUAGGAGGUAAACAUUUUACACUCAUACAUAUUAAUCAUCUUAAAAAAGAUAGUGUCUACUCAUGUAUUUUAUACAGUUUAUUUGGACGGAGCAUAUAUCAAUGAAAUGAUGCUGAGAGGUAUGAUUUUCUUAUUCAAAAUAUGUCAUUUUCAUCAUUUUUUUGGUUGAGUAAAACGUUUGCUUCUAGAAGGGUAUGAAGUCUUUUUCUAUGUUCAAAAUAUACUUGCUCUUUUAUUCUCAUGACAUUAUCUGUUAAUACGUGAUUAGGACUAAUUAUGUGUGCGUUGAAAAUUUUAGGAUGUUGUUGUGAAGAUUCUGAUGGAAGAAGAUCUUCAUGCAAAACGGUUUGAUGAGUUUCUUAGGAGGUACAUGUCCAAAUUUUUAACCCCAUAAUAUUUUGAAGCCAAUUUUGGAACAAUGUGCUCUACUUGCAAGUAACCAUUCAGUAGGUCCAAUCACUUUUAUGCAUUUCUAGGUUGCCAUAAUGAAAUGUCUAUGACGUCCAAACAUCACUCUCUUUAUGGGUGCAGUCACAGAGCCUUCAAACUUGUCCAUGGUAACAGAAUACUCUUCUUUCGUCAUCUUUGUCAUAGAUUAUUGUUGAAACAACUAGUUACUAUGGAUUGCUAUGGUGCUACUCUACCACAUCACGGUAUAGUCUCAUCUUUCUUUGUGGCUUUUCCUUGACUUUGAAGAAUAGACAUGUAAAUUUAUUUCAAGGAUGCAAUGCUUUUCUUCCAAAAUUAUAUAUAAUGGACAUACAUACUGGAAAUUAUGUGUAUAAAUUUGGUUAUUAUGUAAAACUGUUAACUAUACAAUUGUACAUCUUUUUUUCAGAUUGAAACUCAUGACUACAUGACUAUGGAUCAAGCAACAAAAAAUAUUUUCAGAGGUGAAGGAUUAUCGGUUAAUUGUUUAUGCUUGUACAAAAAAUCAUGUUAUAUGUAUUAUGAUGUAUUUACACUGGUUUUGAUUAAAGGUUGUAAUUUCAUACUUGUAAAUUGUUCAAACUUGAUUGAAAAUGUACGAAUGUUGCAAAGUGUAUUAUAGUGUAUAUAUAUUAAAGUGUCGACCAUUUUUUUCUACAUGGGUGUUAUGUAUUAUAACAUUAUUAUCAUUCAAACGGUUCGUGUAAUGGCGGAGUGACAAAAAGAAUAGGGAAAACGGUAGUAAUUGAGAAAUUUGCAACAUAAAAUAAAUGUCAUAAUAUAUUAAUUCAUUACACUCCAUAAUUUUUUUAAAUGCAAAUGAUGACAGUUAUUUGUUGCAUAAAAUAGUAAUUAACGACAUUUAUUUUCUGUCAUGAAAAAACUUGUUGUGACAGUUUUUUAAAACUGUCAUGGAAAGUCCUUCAACUCAGAACUCUCUCAUUCAUAUUUGAUAAAACUGUCAUUGAAGGACUUUCCAUGACUUCCAAUACUAUAACUGUAAAUAACUGUCACGAAUUAUUCGUAACAGAAAAUAACUGUGGUCGUAUACCAUUUUUGUUGUACUAAUAUUACUUUUAAAUCAUCAGGAUCCCUCUCAUUCAUAUUUGAUAUUUGUUCAUUCACAUCCCUCUCUUACACUCAGGACCUUACAAGAGAUGAGUAGACUAAAAUUUUCUUUUUUUAUAAAUUGUGUGCAAACUUUAAUCGAAAAUUUACAAUAAAAAGAAAAAAUUAAUAGGUAAAAUUAAAUUACUAAUCCUAAAAAAGUAAAUAAUAUUUUUUGGAAAAAUAUAAAAUAAAUAAAGCUAAAAACAAAAUGUACAAAUACAAUAAUUUUCUUUUCAAAUACACCGUAUGAUUUUUUAGUAGACAGUAAUAAGUUUGUAGAUUCUCAAUGUCUCAUUUUGGUAUGAAUUAAUGUUACGUUUACAAAUAAUGAAAGUGUUUUUGAACAUAUGUUCGUGUGAGUAUUACAUAUCAUCCAAAACUACUUCUAGUCUUCUACCUAAUUAUUUUAUCUAGAGAAAUAGAACUCGAAUACGAGUUAUUUAAAUCAUGCAUGGCCCCAUUCCUACUUCAAACCAAGUGGCUGAUUAGAGAUUAAUUAGGUUUAAAAAAUAUAAGAUUAAGGCAAUGAACUAAUAAAUUUCAACCAAUGAAAGAAACACUUUUGAACGAGUGAUAAUAUAAGAGAAAUUUAUGGAGUAAAUUUUGGUGAAGGGAAAUGGCAAUUAAUCUUAGACACCAAAUAGAUUGGUAUAGUUUUGACAAAAGUUAGCACAAAAUUAGUUAUGCAUAAUUGGGGUAAUGGAGAAAGCUAAUAAUAGAAACUAAUUUUGAAUGGUAUUUGAUUACUCCCUAAUUACUUUAUAAAUACCCACUUCUCAAGAACACAACAGAUCAUAUAAAUUAAGAAUCAUAUAAGGAUCUAAGAAGAAGAAGAAGAAACAACAACAACAAACAACAAGAUGAGUAUAAUCAACUUCAACAUCAUCACUGCUCUCAUCGCCUUCAUCCUACUAUUAUAUGUUUCCAUCGCGACUGCCCAAUCUAGUACUGGUGCCGCCACCCAACCUGGUGGUGCCGCUGCCCAGCCUGGUGGUGCCACCGUCCAACCUACUGCCGCCGCCAAUUCUAGUGGUGGUGCCACCGUCCAACCUACUGCCGCCGCCAAUUCUAGUGGUGGUGCUGGUGGCGUGUUUUUGAUGUGACAAAGUACGGUGCUAAACCCAAUGCUGAUAUCACUCAGGUAAAAAUCAAAUGAUAUAUAUAUAUCAUCGUUCAAUGAUGGAUCGUGCGCGGCUGAUUAUGUUUGAGAUUUUAAUUUAAACAGGCUUUGGCAACUGCAUGGAAGGAAGCUUGUGCAUCAGCGGGUCCAAGUAAAAGUAAUUAUUCCUAGCGGGACUUACACCUUAGGUGCAAUUGAGUUAAAAGGUGAAUGCACAAGUACUCCCAUCGAAAUGCAAGUACAAGCAACAUUGCUAGCACCACCAGAUCUAAAAGGUGAAGAUUGGGUUCAUUUCAAGUAUGUCAAUGAUUUGUCAGUAUCAGGAGGUGGAGUUUUUGAUGGGCAAGGAAAAAAAACUUGGGAAAGCAACGAUUGUCAUAAAAACCCAAAAUGUGCACCAAUGCCCAUGGUAAAGCACAGUAGUACUUUAAUGAUCAACUUAAUAAUUUAACCACGCCUAAUUUCUUACUAAUUAAUUUUGAUUCAUAUAUAGUUCUUGAUCUUUUCAAAGACUAAAUAAUACGUAUGAAUGUAUGUAUGUAUGUUAACUAGUGACUUUUUUUUGUUGUUGAAAUAUACAGAGUUUGAAGUUCAGCUUUAUAAAGAAUUCAGUUGUGAGUGGCAUAACCUCUAAAGAUAGCAAGAACUUCCAUAUCCAAGUACUCGGGUGCCAAUAACUUUACCCUCCAAAACGUAAAUGUAAAUGCACCAGGAACUAGCAUUAACACUGAUGGAAUUCACCUCGGGCGUUGUGUUGGAAUUAAUAUAUUAAACUCAAACAUCGGUACUGGAGACGAUUGCAUCUCACUUGGAGAUGGAAGCAAACAAGUAACAAUCACAAAUGUGACAUGUGGGCCUGGACAUGGCAUAAGCGUAGGAAGUCUAGGAAGGUAUAAUGCUGAAGAACCAGUUGAGGGACUUCAAGUUAAGAAUUGUACGAUAACUGGUACAACAAGUGGGUUAAGAAUUAAAACAUGGCCAGCUUCACCUGCUGCUGGAGUAGCUUCGGACAUGCAUUAUGAAGAUAUAGUUAUGAAUAAUGUCUCGAAUCCCAUUAUGAUAGAUCAAGAAUAUUGUCCAUAUAACAAAUGCAAUAAACAGGUACUGAUCGUGAUGAUCAUCAGGGCUGGUUAUGCAACAACAGUAGUACUUGAUCCUUAUUUGUUUCAACCAAAACUCAUGCCUUGUUUCUUGGUUUUUCUUUCAGAUACCAUCUAAAGUGAAGAUCAGCAAGGUGAGUUUUCAAGAAUAUCAGAGGUACUUCUGGAAAUGCACAGGCAGUAACUCUUGUGUGUAGUUCAAGUAAUCCAUGUGAAGGUGUGGAGUUAGCUGACAUUGACCUCACAUACACUGGGAACGAAGGUCCCAUUUACUUCUGUAUGCGCAAAUGUGAAGCCCACUAUUACUGGAAAACAAAACCCUCCUAUUUGUUCUCCGCUUGCUCCCAAAGCUCAAUCACCUGCUGCAACCACUCCAUGAAAGACGAUGACCCCAUGAAUAACCAAAAUUUUGAACAUUUUUUUUUUUUUUUUAAUUUUAGUCUUCAUAAAUUCUUCAAAUAAUUUUGUAAUUGCAACGUUGUUUUAGCACUCAAGUUGAAGUUCUUGUAGGAAAAACUUGGAGUGAACGCAUAUAAACAUACAUUUCUUCCUUAAUUAUGAAUAUUCUUUUGGCUUAUAUUAAUUAUAACAAAUCAUCUUCUCUUUCAUCUUUAAUUUUGUGGUAAAAUCUCGAGACGUGAUGCAUUCUCUGUUUUUUUUUAGCAUAAUUUUUGCACUCGCAAAUAUACAACAAUCAAAUUCAAAUUAUUAACGCAUAAUAAUUUUCAAAAACAAAUUACAAAUAUAGCUAUAUUGUUGAUAAACUCUAAUAUGUAAUAGGAUGUAUAAUACAAGUUUAUGAAUGAUAGAAGUUUACUCAUGAAUAUAGCAAGAAAAAACAUUUUCAAGUAUAACUAUAUAUUAGAAAAUUGUAAAAAAUAGUAAAUUUGACAAAAUAUUUAUAACAUACCACAAAAAGAUAUUAUGAAUUACUUAAAUAGAUAUUAAGAAUCGUUAUGAUUUAGACCCUACUAUUAAUAUAGUCGGACAUUUUAAAAAUAGUAAAAUAAAUUAAAAUAUUUAAUAGAUAUAUCAAAUUUUAGAUUCUAUCCAUGAUAGUUACCGAUAAACUUUUAUUAAAUUAAUUAUAUAUAUCUUUCAUAAAUUUUUAUAUAUUUAUUUAUUAAGGUAAUUUUGAAAUAUUGUUACUAUCUUUUUUGGUUAGAUUUGGAAGAAGAAAAAAACUUAUUUUUAAUAACUAUUCAAAAAUAUGUAUUUUUAAUAAGAUUUCGAAAUAUUUAUAUUUAUCUCAUUCAUUUUUAUUAUUUUAAUGUUGUAUUAAAUUAAUCUUUAGAUUAUACCUUAUUUGUUUAACAUGAUUUGUAUGUUAAUUAUAUUCUAUGUAAUACAUAUAUUAGCAUUUGAAAAAGUUUGUAAGUUAUACAACUAGAAGACAAUAAAAGAACGAUAACGAAUAAGUUUUUGUUAUAGCUUUACAACGAGCAAAGACUAUUUUUUAUGGUAGAUGGAUUGAAACUUUCCAAUAUCACGAUUAUCGCAUUAUUGGGAUGGAUGUUCCAUUUGCAUCUUCAUUUCAACAAUUUGUUGAAUAUAUUCAAGGUAAAUUUUUUCCGUACUUCAAUCUAUUUGUAUAUUUCGAUAGUUUACUGAAAUGACUGCAACAAUUCAAACCUCAUUUUUGUUGAAGUUUGUUGAAAUCAUUAAAUUGGGUUGUUGACUAGUCUAUAUCAGCUAGUGCGGCAGGAAGUAUAGCGUAUCUAAAUAAUGAACUACGCAGUGAAUUAAAUAUCUAGAGUUAUUUAAUAAUUCUAUACGUAGUGAAUUAAAUAUCAAAUACAAAAUAUUUUGUGUUCAUAUUUUUCAUUUAAAUAAAGUUUUCUUAAAUUCUUUAAUAUUUAAGUACGCUCAAGCUUUCACUUUUGUUAAUACAUUAUUUUUUUUCAAAUCAAUUUAGUUUGAUUUUUAGAGGAUAAGGAUUUUUUUUGUUAAAUGACUAGAGAUUUGUGUGUUUUUUAAAUAUAAAGUAAACACACAUUUUUUCCCAAGAAAAGGGGUUUGUUUUGAAAAAUAUAACGAACCAAAACAAUUUUUAAAACGGAAAAAAACUAGAGACCCAGAAUGAAAAAUACAAAAAAUGCAUAGUCAAAUGCGAUUAAUUUACCACUUGUGCUCGUAAUAUAUAUUUGGUACAUAUCCAAAUCUAAACUAUUUUUUAACAUUUUUUAUACAUGAUCGUUUAUAUUUGAGCAGUUUUUUUAAUAUGGUUGGGAUUUGGCUAAACCUACUAUUUUUGUUCAAUUAGUACACGAUCUUAAACCAAAUGGAAAAGUAGAAAGAAGAUAGAAAGGGAGUGCAAACCUCUAAUAUUAAAAAAAAAAUGGUCGGCUUACUGGGUUUGUUGAUUUUGUUGGAGUUUGGUUAUAUUUAUGAAAAUUAUUUUUCUUUGUACCGUUAGUAAUUUAAUUGUACUUAUUAAUUUUUUCAUUGUAAAUUUUCAAUUAAAGUUUGCAAAUUUAUAAAACAUUUUUUUUUGUAAGGCCAUGCAUUUAGGAAUGAGACGUGAAUGAAUAUGUGAACUAGUGAUCUUAAGUAAUCAAAAGUAAGGUUAAGAAAGAUUUAAUUAAAAAGCUACUACCUAUACCAAUAACGUUUCACGUUCCUUUUCAGUGGCUCGAUCAUAGAAACUCAAAUUAAAUGUACUUAAAUGAGAACUAUUGUUUUUUAGAUGAUCGAUGAAUUUUCGUAUACAAGUAAAGACAAGGGACUCUGUGUUCAUUUGUUAGGACGACUUUCAAUCUAAUAAGCAAGUAGAUCUUACAUGUUUGCAUAUAUAUCGAAUAAUUUUAUUUGUUCCGAUCAAUAUCUAAUUCCAAUAUCUAUCAGUUUUCGAUGUUAUAAAUAUUUUAAAUAAUUUUAUCUGAUUUUUUUUUUUUAAAAAUGUUCCUUAAAGUAGGCAAUUUCCAAAUUGGUUUUGUGAACUGAGAAAAUGGCAAACGCAAAUAUGCUAUGGAGUUCCGCUAAGAUUCUUGGAUUUCCUUCUCCGAUAGCAAGCAACGUCCGAUGGGCAAGGUUCGAUUAUACAUUUCGGCUUCGGCAUCGUCCAUUCGAGGGCUCUUUCUUCUUCUUCAACUCCUUGCGUUUCAAUUGCAGCUCCAGUAAUGCAAAUUCAGUAUGUAAUGGCAAACAGUACUUAGUUUUGUCCGACGAAGAGCUGAUGAAACAGUGCGAAAUGGGCACGUUCAAGGCGUCGGGUCCCGGCGGUCAGCACCGCAACAAGCGCGAGUCUGCUGUUCGUUUGAAGCACAUUCCCACUGGUAUCAUUGCUCAGGUUCAUAUUUGUUUCAUACAUACAAUCAAUUUCAUUGAUAUACUUCUGUUUCUUUUGCUCUGAAGUUAAAUUCUUUGGCCCUUUAUUGCCAAGGCUGUUGAGGAUCGAUCCCAGCAUAAGAAUCGAUCCAGUGCCUUAGCUCGUCUUCGUGCUCUCUUGGCCCUAAAAGGUGCGAUGGAUUAUUUAUUAGAUGUUUAUUUGUUUGUUUGUUUGUUUUUUAUCUCAUUUCUCAUUUCAUGUGUUGAUGUAUUGAAUUCAGUUAGGAACCCUGUGGAUCUUGAAGAUUAUUCGCCUCCCCCAGAGCUUCUUCAGAUUCUUCCUCUUAAGUCCACUGUUAGGCCACCGGAAUGUGGCCCUCAAAUUGGUCCUAACAAUUCUAAGUUUCUGCCGGUAUCUCUCUUUUCUAGUUCUUUCUAUAUGUCUAUAUGUGCAUAUGAGUGUGCGUUUAUGAUUUGAUUUUCUUUAAGAUACAUAAAAUUCUUUUUUGAAAUGAAAACAAGAUUUAUUGAAAUAAUGAAUGAGUCUAAUGCUCAAACUACAUGAGAUGAAACAAAAAUAAAAACUGCAAACUUGCCAAACCAAACCAUAAUGUAAAACAUAGACUAAACUUCUGAUGAAGCAGUAAAAACAUUCGAGUUUUAAACAAGUAACUUGAGUUGAACAAUCAGCAAAGUGUUUAAAUAGAAUAUAUAUUUACACACACACACACACACACACACGAGAAGAUUAUGAAUGAUAGCUGAAUUGCUUAAUUUCCAGGGCAUGCAAGCUCUACUGGAUCUAAUUUCCACACUUGAUGGUUCUGUAUCAGACACAGCUAAGCUUUUAGGGUAUGUAUGCUAUUCAUGUGUUAUCCUUUGUUUCUUUUUACUUUGUUUCCAACCUGAGCUAGCAUUCACAGUUAAAUCCAGAGAAUGGGAGUGUUUCAAUUAUGUGAGAAUAUUGGGCUUUUAUCAAGAAAUUGAAUCUGCUGAUGUGUGGAUGUUAUAAUGGUUGAGAUAUGGAGAUUAGUGGAAGGGGUAUCAUUGGUAGGUUUAUGGUUUUUGGGGAAUGAAGAAGAUUGGCAAUUUUUUCGAGGGCGUGAGGGAAGUGACUAAUGAGUUUGGACCUCUGGAAGAUGUUGGAGGAUAAUUUUCUCGGGAAGUGUCUAGUUGAAGGCAGAAGCCUUGCCUUGUGUGUCUUGAAGAAGGCUUCUUUCAUGGGAUCACUAUGAGUAGGAGGAAGGAGCUUUUACAUUUCUUUUAUUACUUUGGACGUUGGUAUCGCUUUCAUUAAGAAGAGUAGACUUAAGGAUUUGAUCGGUCACCUACUAAGGAAGCAGACCAAAUUUGGUUAGAGAGAGCUUCUUAGUUUGAUGACUAGCUCUGCAGAAGGACAUUCCUUUUGAUCUCCAUUCCUUCUCCCAUCUUGUCUGUUGCGAGGUGGGGGAAGGCAUGAGAGAAGCUACAGAAGCUGUCUCUCUCUUUGUCUCUCUUCUCAUUAGUUAGGGAGUUCAAUUUUUGAAGAAAAGGUGUUCAUUAAAAUAUUAGUCUAUUCUUUUCCAUUAUGUCUCAAAAUGAGAUAACCUUAAAUAUUGAGAGGUGGAUUAAUUGAUGCAAUCAGAACUCUUGAAUUACAAUUUAGAUCAAUCGUCCAAAAACGAUUCUUCACCUUUCCCAUUUUUAAUAUGUCAGUGAUAUAUAUUAGUUGCAAACUCUAAUUGUUAUUUUAACGUUUAAAAAUAUAGGUUAACAACCGGUGCUCUUUCAAGGUUAAUCCUAUCCGAUGAUGCUCUUAGAAUGGCUGUAAAUGAUAUCAGGAUGUCCAAGGUAACACCAUACUAUUUAUGAGAUCAUGAUAGUUACCAUUUAUUAUCUUUUUUCAAAAGAUUUUAUAUGCACCACUCACAUACUAAUUUUUCAACAUAAGUCAAUUGACACCCAUCGAUCGUGUCUUCCAAAAUUUGAAAUUUACAGGGUCUGAAGCCGCUCAAGUAGAUUGUCAAACUGAGCAUAACUUCAGCAGCAAUUGACAUGUAUUACUUCUUUCAAGAUCCCAAGUUUAAAACUUCAUAACCAUUAAGUAAAAAGUGGGAAGCUCAAUGAACUUGUAACUAGAGAGACACUACGCAAGCAACUAUCUUUCUUAUUAUCAUGCUUAGCUCAACCGCUCAGAGCAUUACUCACAUCUUUCUUGAUGAUCGGAGGUUUGUAUCUCCAAUCUCGUUGUUAAUGCAUGAAGGUUGAAAACACUUUCUCUUGUUACUCUUCCCUAUUACUGCAGAUUUUAAACUAGAAACGCUUCGAUUUGAAUCUGCUUUAUCGACAAAGAGUUCUACUUUGUUCGCUCAACUGUUGUCAAUUCUCUUGUAUGUCAUGUCUUGUUCUGGAAAGAGGAAAAAGAUUUACUUUUACUAUAGCCUAUAUGUAAGAGGUUUAUGUUGUUGUAUCUUAAUCUUGGAAAAAUAUUGUAAUGUUUAUCUUAAAUAUUAAAAUUGAAUUAUGCAUUGUAAUGUUCAGUUUCUAAUAUUCCUUUUUUCAAUAUAUGUAUAAAUACACACACACAUUCAAUAAAGAAAAAUACCAGUAGAACAGGCAACUCAAUGAGCAGUCGGAUUCCCAACACGAAGACAAAGGAGAAAGAUAAAUCUCGAUUGUCUUGCUACAUUAAUCUCGUCAUGCAUUCCUAAUUCACUACAACACGACUAACAAUUUUAUUUUUUUCUCCCUUCAAAAAGGAUAUGUAUCGAAAACUAACAGGAGUUCGAGGAACAUGCUUCUAGGAGAAUCAACUGGCCAAAUUAAAAUAAUUUCUACCAACUUAUUUAGAUAAGAGGAAGAGAGAUGUACAAAACUAAUUUCAAAAUUAUCACUAAGACACCAUCGCAUGAGCGAGAUGAUGAGCUACCUCACUCGUCGACCUCAUACAACACAAGCUUUGUGAUUAAAGGCAUCAACACGAUUAGUGCAAUCUAAUUCCAUAAUUAGAGGGAAUUUGCAUAAACAAAUUGUUUAUUUUAUUAAAUUUUAGAAAAUAUAUUCAUGAAUAAAAUUAAAAACUUUACGAGGUUAUUUAAACAUAGAAAAAUAUGUCAGACUAUUUCUAAUUAGAUUGAUAGAAACUUAUCACUAUCUAACAUUUUUUUUUCUUUUUUCGUAAAUAGUUUGACAUUUUCUUUUACUCGUAAAAGUUUCUAAUUACUUUUUAUUUUAAAAGUUUUAAUUGUUUUUUAAGAAGAAAUUGUAAUUUGACCUAAAACCACAUUUUAUGAUUGAGUUAUGUAAAUUUUUAGAAAAUUAUUUUUAAAAAAUUGAAGUGUUUAGUAACAUUUGGAAAUGUAUUUUUUAAAAUGAAAUUGAAAAGAUAAAAUUCUUUAAAAAAAAUAAAAAUAAAAAUAGAAGGUUUUUAAACAAAAUUAUGUAUAUAACUAUUUUAUAUUGUUAUAUUGAAUUAAUUUGUUUAUAUCAUAUUCUUUAUUCGUUCGGAGGAGGAGGAAGAGGAACAAAGAAAUCAGAAAUGCCACGAAAUAUGAACGGAAACAGAAACCAAGACGGAGAAGAUGAGAGGGGAUUAUUGUGGAAUCUUCCCGUUCUUAAAUCUUCCAGAUUCGGAAAUUUAGGCCCCGCCUUCGGUCUCGGCGUUGGUUGUGGCGUCGGCUUUGGCAUCGGCCUCGUCGGAGGUCAAUUCUUCAUCACCUUUUUUCUUUUACUCAUAAUUAACUUGUUAUUUCAAGUUUUUUCGUAUGGAUUGUUUCACCCUGCAACUUGCUGAUUGUUUUAUUUGGAGGUUUUCUUGUUCAAUUGGAGGGUUAUUUAGUCUGAAAUGUUUGUUUGGUUUAGGCUGAUUAUCGUUUUAAUUUGUAUUUGUGCCGUCUACUGUCUUUGACUGUUGUCCGUGUCUCCUGAAUUUGGGUUGAGAGAAUAUGAGUGUUUGGCUGCUGAAAUUCUGUAGCCCUGUGAUAUUUUCCCCAAGUUUACGGAUAAUUUGACUUUGUUUUGAAGAAGCUCAAAGAUGGAGGAGACGCAAUACGAGAUCACGACAUACGUAUUUUUCGAGAAUAACGUUAUAAAGAUGCUAUGGGUAACACAAAUGUGUUAGAGUUUAGACUUGAGAAAGGGAAUGCUAUUUUCUAGGAUAGUUUGAAAAUCAUUCAAAGGAAUAAAGUGUAUCAAUAAGAAAAAUAACUAAUUUUCCUACAAAAUAGCUCAAUUAUGAAUCCCCAAAUGGCGCCCGGAUGUAGUUCAUUCAGGUGUUAGUGUAUAUCUUUAACAUAUAUAUUUUUUUAAAUUGUAUUUCAUGCUUCAUCUUUAUCAUUCAACAAUUUCAGACAUGCCUUUUGAUGGAUACACCUCGAGAGGAAUUCUAAUCUGUAUUGUAGUUUGUGAAAUUUAUGGACUAAGUUUCUUCAAGCAGUUUAAUCGGAUGUUGUGUCAUUUAUUUGUGUAUUUAUGUUUGUUUGUAUGAUUGUGAUCAAAUAUGAAAAGCUUUAAUCAUUUUCACAAGUUUAUCAUCCAGCACCUUUUCUCUUCGUCUUUUCAUUUUUUUGUACUUGUAAAUAUAUUAUUCAGUUUUGUUAACUUUUAUGGUGGUUUUUCUUUUAGUCCGGAGGGUGGGUGUUGAAUUUUAUUUAUCACAAUUUAGGAGUCUACAAGCGUUACUUGGUUGCAUAUUUGAAGUUCCAUCUAUCUGUUUAGAAGGAUUUUCAGGUGCCAGAAGCUUGAAAUGUAUUAGGCUUAAAAAAUUGGAGUUCACAAAGCACUCCAUUGUUGAUGAGGAUUAAAUUCUCUCAAUCCUUUGUGAUAGUAUGGCUUUUAGUCUAUAAGAAACGCCAUUGAUUUUCUUUUUCAUAGUAGACACUAGACAUUAACUGGAUGAGAAAAAAGGAACAGUAGCAAUUGGGAUGAUAAGGCAUUCUUUGUUCUCCCACAUGCACACUUAAAUAAACACAUAGAAGAAGAAGCUAUUGUGGAUUUUAGGUUUUGGUAGAAGGUAGGGCAUGAGUGUCAGCCAAUGAAUAAAUAUUUUCAUUGUUGAAAUUUUAUUUUGCACUUUAUACUGUGGUGAACUACCCUUGUUUAGUUUAAUUGAAACUAAUUAAAUAGAUGAAUUUGCUAAAAAAUUUCUCCACUCUAGGUGCUGGAUUUGGUCCAGGAAUUCCUGGCUUACAGCUUGGCUUUGGUCUUGGUGCUGGAUGUGGAGUUGGCUUAGGAUUUGGCUAUGGUGUUGGCAGGGGUAUUGCCCAAGAUGACAAACGCAGAUACUCAAACGUUGGGGAUGUAUUGCGUGGUCGUCAAAGUAUUUUUCCUCAGUAAGUUCUAAAACUAACUGUUUUCAACUUGUGACUACCAUGUUCUCUUAGUUAUGCAUUAUUACAAGUCAGGGAAAAUUAACUUUUUCGUGGGUUUGGUGACCUGGCUUUUACAUAACAUGUACUUACUAAGGUGGCAAUCCAUGAUAGAUGAUUCAAAAUAGUUUUAAUUGUACUAUCAAUCUCAAGGUUAGAUUCCUUCCCCCCACAUGUUGUAAUAAGAAAAGUCCCAUUCUUUAUCUUCUUUCUCUCCUCUCUCUUCCCACUCUCUAUCCCAUUUCUCUCUUUUUGCUUAGUUUCUCUCUGCAUUCUCUCUUCUUCCCAAUUAAUCUUAUCAGUGGCUUGGACUCUAUGUUGUGAUUCACUUUCCAUCUUUUCAUUUCAACUCAGUUCAUCUUCUUUCAAUAACCUAGAUCAAUUGGGGUCAACUUAGACGUUCAUCUUGAAAAAUUGCCAUUUUGUUUUUAAAAUAUCUAUAUCUUUUUAAAAGUUAGGAAUAUCACUCUUGACCUUUGAGAAAUGUUUUUUUUGUCGCUCAAAUUACUAACAUCCUUCUCUUUCUUGUUCCCAUUCGACUUAGGGAGACACUAUCUUCUUAUCCACCUCAGUUGGCUGGGUGAAAUCAUUGAAACUAACGGUUGAUUGUCCAGAUCGUUAAACUAAACUACCCUACGUUUUACCAUCUUGGUUACAUUUAUAGGAUGGUCAGAAUAAUAAUUCCUUUUGAAAUCAUACUCUAAUUUGCACAGGAUUAAAUAGUGCCUUUCUUAACAGUGAAAAGUUAGAAACUGAUUGAUGACAUUUCCACGAUUUUCAUUUAUAAUCUGUGCAGCUAUUGAACUUCAGUACUCUGACUUCAUGAAACAUUUCUUGACUUUCAUUUUUACUUGUCAUCCAUCAGUCAGGACGAUAUCGGCGCGCUUGUUGACGACCUUGUCCUAAAUACAAAGAGACUUAUCCGAGCUACUUCAAAGGAGAUUGACAAGUGGAAAAGAUGAAAUUUUACUCAUUUGUUAUUACAUUGUACAAGUCUAUUACGAACAACAACAAUCAAAACUGAAGAACAAAGAAACGUGCUGGCUGACAUAUGGUAUGUUAUUACUUCGGCUUUUAGAGGCAGAAUUUAUGUACAAUUGUUUAGAAAGAUGUAUUUAACCUCUAAAUCUCAUAUGCAUUGGGUUUUGAGCAAUCUUAAAAUGCCAAAUGCUUAAUGUAUUAGUUUAGGUCCCUAGAUGGCUGAUUUAUCAUUGUGUGUAUGCAUUGGUUACGUGCGCCCGUAGUUAAAAGGUGAAAUUUUGCUAAUUCGGUCAUUAGUCGUUCUUAUACAAACGUCAAGUUGUGCUUUAUCUUGUUAGGUUUAAAAGUUGCAAUAUGUUAGAAGUAUUCCAUAUAGUUUUUUAAGUUACCUGGUAAAUAUCAAUAGGAUUAAAUUUCAUUUAACCCUCAAAAUCUUAGGUUUUUUUUUUUUCUAAUAUUUUGAAAUGUUUAUGUUGAUAUCUAAAGUUUAAAAAUAACACUUAAAAUUAGGAUUUUUUUUAUUAAUUUUUAUAAAUAUAUCAAACCAGUCAAAUAUUUACCGUUGUGUAACAAAAUGAAAAAGCCACGAUUGGUCAUGUUUUUAAAAAUAUUUCAUCUUUGUCAUUUCUUUUCGUCAUCCUUCUUUCUCUACUUAUACGAUUGUUUUUCAAAUUGUUAUUUAGUUGACAAUCAUAUACCAAAUAUAAAAUAUUCAUUUUUUAAAAUAUUUUUUUCAAACGGUUAUUAUCGUUUAAAAAAAAAAAUCAUUGACAUAUUAGAUAGCUAAAUUUUACUAAAUGAUUGUGUAUCAAGAUAUGAUUCAAUUACGUGUACCAAAUUCUACUACCAAAUCUAAACGAAGAUGUUUACGGGCAUGCUUGGUGUCAAUUAAUUAUCGACUUUUUUUGUAUUUCUUAUUGUGGGCUUUUUUCUCUUUAUAUUUUUUAAAACACACCAUUUUUUUUUAUAUAAUUGCUAGCUAUAAUUUUACUAACAAAUAUAACUCAUCAACUUGUUUAAUCAACCAAUAAUACGUGUCUAGAACAGCAAGUACAGAACUUUGUGAAAAAUGACUUUAAAAGAAACUUGCUAUAUUUAUGUUUACACAUCAAUACACAUAACCAAAGCUACACAUUAGAUUUGUUAAAUACUUCAAAAUUAGCUAUAAAAAAAACAGAAGUCUAAAAUAGACCUUUGGAAAAGAAGCAAAGGUAUAUUUACGAUUUACGAAUGAAUGACCACAUAACAAAAAUCUUGAUGUCCAAAUGGCACAAUUUUGUUAAGGAUAGCUCACGUUAUCCAAAUCACUCAAUCGGAGACACCAACUUAAAGGCCACAUCUGCCACCUCACCACUCUCCACCAAUCACAACACAGCAUUGGAUUUCUGAGCUCAUGAGACCAAUCACAAACCUCUAUCCGACGUGGCAUGUCCACAUCCACCAGCACCAACCAUAUAGCUUCUUCCUUCUCCUCAUCUCUUCUUCACCAUUUACACAUUCUUCAUUCUUCUUUCUUCUUUCCUCCCUUCAAUCCCCCCCACCAUGGCUUCUUUGGCUGCUUCCACCGCCGCCGCCUCCCUCGGCGUCUCUGAAAUGCUAAGAAACCCUCUUAGCUUCUCCUCCAGGUCCGCUCCCUCCCCUUCUACCCCCGCCACCUUCAAAACCGUUGCGCUUUUCGGGAAGAAGCCCGCAGCACCUGCCAAGCCAAAGCCCUCUGCUGCCUCUCCCGUCAACGACGAGCUCGCCAAGUGGUAUGGUAAGUCCACUUCCACCCAUUUACAUCUUUCCACUCCAAUAAAAAUGGUUCGCUCGAAAUUAAUUAUAUACCAAGUUUAUCGAGUUUUCUUUUUGUAAUAUUGAAUUAUUUUAAGUAUUUUGUUUGAAUUUAAUUACUUCUUUUUCAAGUUCAACAUAACUGCCAGAGCAAGAAAUGGGAUGAUUUCUUUUACAACAAGUCUCUAAUGGUCAUAUCUUUUGUUUGUACAUGUUUUCUCAACUUGAUGUUAACUAUGCUCUUCGACACUAAUUUAGGGC